UUUCCGUAGGUGAACCUGCGGAAGGAUCAUUAAAAAAUUGGACUCCAUUGGUGAGUUCAUUAAUAAUCCCUACCCUUUGUGAAUUUGUUUGUUUGAAUAAUUUUUUUCCAAAAAAAAAUUAUUGAAUGUCUUUCCCUGUUUUGGUGGAGCUUGUAAAGUGAAACCAGGCAGGGGAAUGGCAAACAAUAAUUAUUUUUUGAAAAAAGACCUUUUUUAAAAUUAAACUUUUUGUAUUCAUUUGUCUAAAAUUAUUUUUAUAAUAUAAAAACAACUUUUGACAAUGGAUCUCUUGGUUCUCGCAACGAUGAAGAACGCAGCAAAAUGCGAUAAGUAGUGUGAAUUGCAGAAUACGUGAAUCAUCGAAUCUUCGAACGCAUAUUGCACUUUUUUAGUUUACUAAAAAAGUAUGUCUGUUUGAGUAUCAGUAAAAUAUUCUCAUAAAAAACAUUGUUUUUUUAUGGUUAUGAGUGUUUUACAACGAUAACAAGUUGUUUCACUUUAAAUUCUUUGUUAUCAAAAAAAUCAUUAAAAGCUAAUUUUAAAGAUUUUUUAAAAUUGGAUAAAAUUUUCCCGUAAAAAGGAAUAACCUAAACAAUUUUAAAAAAUUAAAAUUGGUUCGAUUUCUUUUGAAACCCAAAGGAAAAAAAAACGAAAUUAACUUGAUCUCAAAUCAGAUAAGAGUACCCGCUGAACUUAAGCAUAUCAAUAAGCGGAGGAAAAGAAACUAACUAGGAUUCCCUCAGUAACGGCGAGUGAAGCGGGAAGAGCUCAAAUUUGAAAUCUUCAAGGUUUUACCUUGACGAAUUGUAGUUUAAAGAAGUGUUUUCUGUUGGAGUUUUGGUAAAAGUUCUUUGGAAAAGGACAUCAUAGAGGGUGAGAAUCCCGUAUUUGACCAUUAUCUCCAGCUUUGUGAUACACUUUCAAAGAGUCGGAUUGUUUGGGAAUGCAGUCCAAAAUGGGUGGUAAAUUUCAUCUAAAGCUAAAUACUGGCGAGAGACCGAUAGCGAACAAGUACCAUGAGGGAAAGAUGAAAAGAACUUUGAAAAGAGAGUUAAACAGUACGUGAAAUUGUCAAAAGGGAAGCGUUUGACACCAGUGUUGUUUUCUCGAAAAUCAAUUAAAAAAGGCCGGAUUUUGUGUUGUAUUGACUUUAUCAGCUUUCCGCACUUUUUUCUUGUCUUUUUUAAUGCACUUUUCGUUUAACAAGUCAACAUCAAUUUCUUUUGUUGUAAAAGGGUCAUUGGAAGGUGGCUUUCUUUUCGGAGAAAGUGUUUAUAGCCUUUGGCCUCUGCAAUCGGAGAGAUUGAGGUCUGCAGCGUAGAUCCUUCGGGGUUAGAUACAUUUGUGCUAAGUUAUAGCCUUUCAUAGACAACUUGUUGACUAUGAUCAGUCAUGUAGCUUACUCGCUUAUGCUAUUUUACCUACGCUUAGGAUGUUG
rnacentral:misc_RNA from 1 species